rnacentral:rRNA from 1 species
UACGUAGGGUCCGAGCGUUGUCCGGAAUUAUUGGGCGUAAAGGGCUCGUAGGCGGUUUGUCGCGUCGGGAGUGAAAACACGGGGCUUAACUCCGUGCCUGCUUCCGAUACGGGCAGACUAGAGGUAUGCAGGGGAGAACGGAAUUCCUGGUGUAGCGGUGAAAUGCGCAGAUAUCGGGAGGAACACCAGUGGCGAAGGCGGCGAUCUGGGAAGUUACUGACGCUGAGGUGCGAAAGCGUGGGGAGCAAACAGG